ensembl:lncRNA
CCUGGAUAACCAGAGUACGGUCAAAGCACUCACAGGGAAAAUCGCUGCAGCUCAUGAGAGCAUCAUUAUCUCCUGAUAGUGCAUCCCAUCAUGUGAGGCCCCCGCUUGCUGAGCUCCGACUGUGCCAAAUGAGCUCGCGGAGCAGAAGGCUGGCCAGCACUGCGAGUGACAGAUGUCUCAUAUGUUUGGCACGGAUUAGCUAAAAGCUCAUUUCGGAAACUUCUCUGUUACUGGAGCUCAGACUCCUCAGACAAUUCAACGUCCAGGCAUCGGAAAUGGAGCUUGUCCAACUCAUGCGUCUCACAUUUCAAGGUCAGACAGGGAAAAUGUAUACGGUCAAUAAUUUGCAAUAGUGUGUGAUAUUUCUGAAAAAAUUUGGGUUGGUUAUUCAAAAGUGGCGCGGAAAUAAAAGCCGCCUGUCAACAUCGACCCACAACUUACAACCAGUCAUGUAAGUAAACACUGAUGAAUGCCAGAUUAUUAAUCGCAUCACUCUGAGGCUUGUUGGUGGGAUAUAACAGCAAACAUGUUUGCAUUUGACCAAUUUAUAUUUUUACAGCAAAGUCAAACGUGGACUGAUAAAUCCCUUUCCACUAAUACAGAGUAAAAGGCUCCAUCCACCUCACAUAAUGUUUCAUCUAGCAUCGCCCACAGUGAUGGCCAGUCAAAUUGGAUUAAACUGAGGUGGCUUGGGGGUUCUCUGCAGCUGCUGCUGUUUGAUAUGGGGUUUAGGUGUGCUGCAAGUGGUUACUUGGCUAGACUUGAAAGACUUGCAGAGACACAUUAAUAUUUUAUAGAAAACUACAGACUAUGAUGCCAAUGACUCAUGGGCCAUAUAUAAAAGGAGGACGUAAUAAUAUAUGACAAUGUAGGCCUUCGCCGUCAGUAUUACAAUGCGUG